rnacentral:rRNA from 1 species
AGAGCCUAACACAUGCAAGUCGAACAAGAAAGUGGAGCAAUCCAUGAGUAAAGUGGCGACCGGGUGAGUAACACGUGACUAACCUGCCCUAGAGUGGGGGAUAACCUCGGGAAACCGGGGCUAAUACCGCAUAACAUCACGAGGGGAAGAUCCUUGUGAUCAAAGGAGCAAUUCGCUCCAGGAGGGGGUCGCGGCUGAUUAGCCAGUUGGCGGGGUAACGGCCCACCAAAGCCAAGAUCAGUAGCCGGCCUGAGAGGGCGCACGGCCACACUGGAACUGAAACACGGUCCAG